rnacentral:rRNA from 1 species
GUGGGGAAUAUUGGACAAUGGGGGGAACCCUGAUCCAGCCAUGCCGCGUGUGUGAAGAAGGCCUUUUGGUUGUAAAGCACUUUAAGCGAGGAGGAGGCUACCGAGAUUAAUACUCUUGGAUAGUGGACGUUACUCGCAGAAUAAGCACCGGCUAACUCUGUGCCAGCAGCCGCGGUAAUACAGAGGGUGCAAGCGUUAAUCGGAUUUACUGGGCGUAAAGCGCGCGUAGGUGGCCAAUUAAGUCAAAUGUGAAAUCCACGAGCUUAACUUGGGAAUUGCAUUCGAUACUGGUUGGCUAGAGUAUGGGAGAGGAUGGUAGAAUUCCAGGUGUAGCGGUGAAAUGCGUAGAGAUCUGGAGGAAUACCGAUGGCGAAGGCAGCCAUCUGGCCUAAUACUGACACUGAGGUGCGAAAGCAUGGGGAGCAAACAGGAUUAGAAACCCUGGUAGUCC